UGGUGGAGAAUAUGCAGCAUGCUUACAGGCUCGGCAGUGCUACACUCGUUAGCACCAUGACCGAAAAGGACUUAGGGGUCUUGAUUGACGACAAGAUGAAUAUAAGCCACCAAUGUGAUGCUAUGGCUGGCAAAGCAAACCUAACUCUGGCAUGCAUUCACUGAU